CCUAACACGCCCUCUCACUCACCUCCCUCAUCACUCUCACUCUCAAUCUCACUCUCACUCUCGAUCUCUCUCCCUCAAAAACACCCCCCUCUCACUCGAUCUCUCUCCUGCUGCUCACCUCUCUCUCACUCCGGCGCCCAGUGACCUGCACGGUUUGGCCAACCCACUGGCCAUCUUCUCCAGUCAAAACCGGCCGGCGAUUAUUCCGCCGUUACUGUUCCUGUACUAGAGCACAAUGUGUGAAUAUUGCUCAUUUUGAUUGGAAUGUUUAAAGAGACAUGAAAAUGGUUAUAUAUGGUAUUGAUGAGUUGUACAAGUUAUCAGUUCUUACAUCUGGGAAGCCUUCUUUGUAAUCCUUUGUUUGCUUAGCUACAUAUGAAGUUUAAUUUCUCAAGGAACAUUGUUGUUGAUGUAUGCCUUCUUUGGCAACUGCUUAAAAACUUGACAAUUAUGUAGUUUUAUCGGGCUAUUUUUGAGACUUUUUCACUUGUAAUUAACUCUGUUU